rnacentral:rRNA from 1 species
UCUACGGGGGGCAGCAGUGGGGAAUAUUGGACAAUGGGGGCAACCCUGAUCCAGCCAUGCCGCGUGUGUGAAGAAGGCCCUCGGGUUGUAAAGCACUUUCAGUGAGGAAGAACGCCUGGUGGUUAAUACCCAUCAGGAAAGACAUCACUCACAGAAGAAGCACCGGCUAACUCCGUGCCAGCAGCCGCGGUAAUACGGAGGGUGUGAGCGUUAAUCGGAAUUACUGGGCGUAAAGCGCGCGUAGGUGGCUUGAUAAGCCGGUUGUGAAAGCCCCGGGCUCAACCUGGGAACGGCAUCCGGAACUGUCAAGCUAGAGUGCAGGAGAGGAAGGUAGAAUUCCCGGUGUAGCGGUGAAAUGCGUAGAGAUCGGGAGGAAUACCAGUGGCGAAGGCGGCCUUCUGGACUGACACUGACACUGAGGUGCGAAAGCGUGGGUAGCAAACAGGAUUAGAUACCCUGGUAGUC